CAGAUGCAGCAGGAGACAGCAGUGUGGUUGAAUCUCUGUAGGUUUAACUCGUGAAUCAAAAUCCGCAGGGACAUCUUUGCUGGCUCAGGCCAGACAGUGUGCAGGGUACUUUUCAAGCCAGUCGCUGAGCAAAGGUAUUUAGGAAAAUAAAGCGGCAGCCUGUGGGCCAAGCUUCUGCCUAACGGGAACUGGAGUGGUGGAGAUGUUAAUCCCAGAAAAAAAGGACUUUCUAGUGAAAACCCUCGGGGACGCUUCAAUCAAGGGGAAAAUCAGGAGUAAAUCUAUUGAAGUCAAUGGAAUUACACUGGUGUAAGCAUGAAGGCCUUUUGGUCCCAGGAAGCUGGACAGUAGGCCAGAGUUGCAGCCCUACUAAAUACCCAAGCAGUGUUUUGAAGCGAGCAGGGGAGUGGCUGCAUUUUAGGUGUGGUCCCCGAGCCAGCUGGAUAAACUACCAGCGGCAGCCUCAGGAAGUGGCUCUUUGCUGGAGAAUGGGAGAGGGCUUAGCACCCUUUCCACCUGUACACCGGCUUCGGGUCUACUUGGAAACUCCCCACGAGGACACCAGAGGAGAGAGAAAACCAGCCUCCAAAGAUGCCAGAAGAGGUCACUGAUCCUUCCCUGCAAGAAGACAACACCAGAGCAAUGAUACUUUGAACUUCUUUCAGCCGAAGAUCUCCAAGUGAUUUUCAGAUAUUCAUUAAAUAAGCUUCACAUCACCCCAGAGGAAUUUUAUGAGACCCUUGAAGGCAUAAUUCUGUCUCUUUUCUGCAUAUUUUAUUUUUCACCAAAACUGCAAGAGGACAGGAUAUUUAGCAGAAUAACUUUGAUGUCUGGGUAGGGAACAGAGAAGAUUUGGUCUUGCGCCAAAUGAAGGGAACACAAAGGAAUGAAAAGAAUCCAGUGUAUUGCAGCACUAUAUUACUUUCUAUGUUUGAAAGAGCACUUUGACUGAAGUGCCAGUCCUACAAAUGCUGUGAGCUUACUACACAAUUUUGUUUAUGCUCUUAAAAAACCCCAGAUUUUCAAAAGAGCUCAGCUCCCAUCUACAGUAUU